rnacentral:rRNA from 1 species
UACGUAGGAUGCAAGCGUUAUCCGGAAUUAUUGGGCGUAAAGAGUGUGUAGGUGGCGUGUUAAGUUAAAUGUUAAAUCUCAGGGCUCAACCCAGAGGCUGCAUUUAAUACUGGCAUGCUUGAGGUAUGGAGAGGUAAGCGGAAUUAGUAGUGUAGCAGUGAAAUGCGUAGAUAUUACUAGGAACACCAAUGGCGAAGGCAGCUUACUGGCCAUAUUCUGACGCUGAGACACGAAAGCGUGGGGAGCGAACGGG